rnacentral:misc_RNA from 1 species
AUAAAGUGCGUUAGGGAUAGUAGUGAAAAGCCCGCAGCCCGACGGAGGAGGAGCGAGGACUUGCAACGUAUAGCCCGACCCUUU